rnacentral:Y_RNA from 1 species
GGCUGGUCCGAAGGUAGUGAGUUAUCUCACGUGAUUGUUCACAGUCAGUUACAGAUUGAACUCCUUGUUCUACCUACUUUCCCGCCUCCUCACUACUGCACUUGACUAGUCUUAA